GUGAAUUUAUUUGACAGACCCAAAGCAGUUACUGUCAGCUUCUAAGGUUUCAAUUACAGAUGCGAGAAGAAAGUCUCCUUGUGCUUUAUGUCUGAUUGUGGCAGCCAAAAUUAAAUAGGGGAGCACAGGG
rnacentral:snoRNA from 1 species